rnacentral:rRNA from 1 species
AGCGAACGCUGGCGGCAGGCCUAACACAUGCAAGUCGAACGAACUCUUCGGAGUUAGUGGCGGACGGGUGAGUAACACGUGGGAACGUGCCUUUUGGUUCGGAAUAACUCAGGGAAACUUGUGCUAAUACCGAAUGUGCCCUUCGGGGGAAAGAUUUAUCGCCAUUAGAGCGGCCCGCGUCUGAUUAGCCAGUUGGGGAGGUAACGGCGCACCAAGGCGACGAUCAGUAGCUGGUCUGAGAGGAUGACCAGCCACACUGGGACUGAGACACGGCCCAGACUCCUACGGGAGGCAGCAGUGGGGAAUCUUGCGCAAUGGGCGAAAGCCUGACGCAGCCAUGCCGCGUGAAUGAUGAAGGUCUUAGGAUUGUAAAAUUCUUUCACCGGGGGCGAUAAUGACGGUACCCGGAGAAGAAGCCCCGGCUAACUUCGUG